rnacentral:rRNA from 1 species
GGAGUCUACCUAUUAUGCGAGUGUUAAGGUGGAGAAACCUAAACGCGUACCGAAAGGGAUGUAAGAUGUGAAGCGCAAGCUGCAACAUCAACCAAUCUUGAUUCUCUGAAGAAGGACUUGAGUAAGAGCAUAAUCGGUAGGACCCGAAAGAUGGUGAACUACGGUUGAAUAGGGUGAAGCCAGGGGAAACUCUGGUGGAGGCUCGAAGCGAUACUGACGUGCAAAUCGUUCGUCAAAUUUGACUGUAGGGGCGAAAGACUAAUCGAACCAUCUAGUAGCUGGUUCCCUCUGAAAUUUCUCUCAGGAUAGCAGGAACAGAUUAUGCAGUUUUAUCAGGUAAAGCUAAUGAUUAGUGGAAUCGGGGGUCUAGUAUCCUUGACCAAUUCUCAAACUUUAAAUUGGUAAGAACUACGAGUUAUCUUAAUUGAACUCGGAGGUAGAAUGCAUUGUUCUUAGUGGGCCAUUUUUGGUAAGUCAGAACUGGCGAUGAGGGAUGAACUAACGUUGAGAUAAGGU